rnacentral:rRNA from 1 species
GACGAACGCUGGCGGCGUGCCUAAUACAUGCAAGUCGAACGCUUCUUUCCUCCUAGUGGCUGGCGCUCAAUUGGAAAGCGGGUGGGUGACCGGGGGAUUACCACGUGGGUACCUAACCAAUCAUAGGGGAAAAACAUUUGAAAAAAGGUGCUAAUACCCCACAACAGUUUGGGCCGCAUGGAAUAAGGGUGAAGGGGGCUUUCGGGCGUCGCUGACGGAUGGACCCGCGGUGCUUUGGUUAGUUGGGGAGGUAACGGCUGACGAAGGCGACGAUGGAUAGCCGACCUCAGAGGGUGAUCGGCUACACUGGGAGUGAGACACGGCCCAGACUCCUGCGGGAGGGAGCAGUAGGGAAUCUUCGGCAAUGGAGGAAAGUCUGACCGAGCAACGCCGCGUGAGUGAAGAAGGUUUUCGGAUCGUAAAACUAUGUUGUUAGGGAAGAACAAGGACGUUAGUAACUGAACGUCCACUGACGGUAUCUAACCAGAAAGCCACGGCUAACUACGUG